rnacentral:rRNA from 1 species
GACGAACGCUGGCGGCGUGCCUAAUACAUGCAAGUCGAACGCUUCUUUCCUCCCGAGUGCUUGCACUCAAUUGGAAAGAGGAGUGGCGGACGGGUGAGUAACACGUGGGUAACCUACCCAUCAGAGGGGGAUAACACUUGGAAACAGGUGCUAAUACCGCAUAACAGUUUAUGCCGCAUGGCAUAAGAGUGAAAGGCGCUUUCGGGUGUCGCUGAUGGAUGGGCCCGCGGUGCAUUAGCUAGUUGGUGAGGUAACGGCUCACCAAGUCCACGAUGCAUAGACGACCUGAGAGGGUGAUCGGCAACACGGGAACUGAGACACGGUCCAGACUACGACGGGAGGCAGAAGGAGGGAAUAUGCGGCAAGGGGCGAAAUCCUGAAGGAGCAACGCCGCGUGAGUGAAGAAGGUCUUCGGAGCGGAAAACUCGGUUAUUAGGGAAGAAAAUAUGUGUAAGGAACUGUGCAGAUCUUGACGGUACCUAAUCAGAAAGCCACGGCUAACUACGUG